CCCAGACUCCUACGGGAGGCAGCAGUGGGGAAUAUUGCGCAAUGGGGGAAACCCUGAUGCAGCAACGCCGCGUGAGUGAAGAAGUAUUUCGGUAUGUAAAGCUCUAUCAGCAGGGAAGAAAAUGACGGUACCUGAUUAAGAAGCCCCGGCUAACUACGUGCCAGCAGCCGCGGUAAUACGUAGGGGGCAAGCGUUAUCCGGAUUUACUGGGUGUAAAGGGGGCGCAGACGGCAAUGCAAGCCAGGAGUGAAAGCCCGGGGCCCAACCCCGGGACUGCUCUUGGAACUGCAUGGCUGGAGUACAGGAGGGGCAGGCGGAAUUCCUAGUGUAGCGGUGAAAUGCGUAGAUAUUAGGAGGAACACCGGUGGCGAAGGCGGCCUGCUGGACGACAACUGACGCUGAGGCUCGAAAGCGUGGGGAGCAAACAGGAUUAGAUACCCCGGUA
rnacentral:rRNA from 1 species